UUUUUUUUUUUGUUGGAAUGGAAGUAUAUAUAUAAUAAUAAUAAUAAUCGCUCCUUAAUAAGAAAUUAUUAUUUUUAAAUAAUUUCAUAUGUUCUUUUUGACAGCGUUCAGAACUAUUGUAGUCUCUCCGUAACCCAUAAAUAAGAGGAUAAUGCGUUUUACCGUACUUAAAUCUACGUCAUCUUGCAUUGACAACAGUAUUUAUACCAAUCAAGCUAAUACUCAAUCAAUCUUAUGAAGUUAAUUCUCUUUUGCUCUAUUCUUUUUAUGGAUGAUUUAAGAUGUGAUUCAAUUUUUUUUAAAAUUAUUCCAUUGCCAUUUUAUGUAUUUCAUUCUUUAGUAUUUGUAAGGUACAUCAUAGUGUGUUAUCUUUAGUAUGUGUACAAAUGUCAUAAUAUGAUAGCAUGCGUCUUAGUAAUUGCUUUGUUGGUUGAAUGCGUAUAUUAUUUAUGGAUAGAAUGCUCAAUGGUUGGCAUGUAUAUAUGAGAAAAGUGGUUGAGUACGUAAUGGUCGUUUAAAGCAUAUUAUGUUUGGACAUGAGGUAAAUUUGGUUAUGAUUGUUUGGGGGUUUAUAAAGGAUGAGAGUUUGGAUGGUUCUUAAGUCAUUUAGAAUGGUUUUUAAGCUAAUUUGCAUUUAAGUACAUAUACAGAUACUCUCUAAAAUAAUGUCAAAAGGGAUUUUAUUAAGGUGCAAAACACCACUACCAUGACUUUUAUUAUCAAUAUUGUAUAGUCUAAAGGUGUCAAUAUCCUUAAGGUAUCACUAUCAUAUGGCUCAAAAGAGUUUGAAAUUGGCUUUUAAAGAUAGAUUAAAAGUUGAUUUUGAUAAAUAAUGCCUCCAAGCAUCAGAUGUAACAUCAUUUAUACAAAAACAAGUGUUGCAACUCAUCUCAACUCAAGCUCAAUUAAACUCAUUCGUUUUCAGACUCAAGCUUGUUUGCAAUUAAACUCUUUCUAUAUAAUAAAAGUAGAAAUGUAAUUUUAUUAUAUAAAAAGUAUAUUCCAAGAAAAAGCUCAAUUAAACUUAUGAGCAAUUCAAAUCAAAUAUUACAAGGCUCAAAUUUAAUUCAAUUGAUAACUCAAACAAUACUCGCUAAUUAAAAAGUCAAAUUCAAAUUCUUUUUUGAGUCAAACUCGAAUGAUUUGUGAACAGGUCUCUUGUAUCAAGAUAGGAAGGAACAAGAUCUUAUGGAUAGAAGACCAUUGAUAAUUUCUAACAUAAACUAGCUAAAUUUUCAACUUUCUUUUUUCCUUUUUAUAAAAAGAAAUACCAAGUCCUUUAAAAAGGACAUAAAUUAUUUGAGAAGUAUCUGCUCAGUGUUUACUGUUUAGGUCUAAGGCCUAGGACAUAUGAUAACAAACAACAAUUGUGCACAAUAAAUUUUUUUUUAUUUAUUCUUUUCAAAGAAAAGCUGUGCAAAGUAGAGGUUACAAAAAAAAAAGAAUUUUAGUCCACAAGCACCUUACAUUGUUGUUCCACAACCUUUCUUCGUUUUUUAUCAUCAAUUGCCUGCAAGGAAACAACAUUACUUCACAUUAGCUAAUUCAAUUUUUAUAUUUCUCUAUUCGGCUAGCUAUCAUGAUUGAUUCUUCCACUUUUCACAAGCAUUCAACUUAGCUGAGCAAUUUUCAUUUAUACAUCAAAUUUUACUUUUUCACAUUCAUCAAAGCACAUCAAAAAGGUCUUUGGGAAUAUGAAUGUGUGAGAUGAGCAACAGCAAUGUAAUGAAAGAAAGCAUUUGUUAAUAAUAGAGUCCAUUCUCCCAGUCUGAAUUACAUUUUUCAAACCAAUUUCUGCUAUGAUGAAAUUAUUACCUCUUGACUCAGGCAAUCUGGUGCACGAACCCUCUUGGAGCCAUCAGCCAAUCGCUUACAUUGAAAUUGGUUUUCCAAAUAUGCCAAGCUAUCACUCACCUAACAUUACCAACAUUUGCAAAAGACUAAAUACUGGUGAACUUUGACCAAUAAGGGGAUGUGAUUAGAGAUGGUAUUUGCAGUUUGAAGACCUGAGUUAACAAGUGGAAAAUGGAAAUCAAUGAAAUUAUUGUUUUUUUACCUGGCCUUUGAUGGCUCCAAUUAACGACUCCUGACAUCCGGACGCAUGCACAUUUUGUAAACUUGGACAUUGAAGGAGCAAUCUCUCUAUGAAAAACAGAGUUUAUUAGAUACUUCUUAAAACAUAAGAAAAUAAAUGAGCAUAGUCAACUCGCCAAACUAGCAGAUUGAUACCUGGAUGCAAGUUUUUACAAGAGAUGAGAUUUAGGUCAUUGAGUUCGGGACAAUUCAAACAUAAGGCCUGCAUUUAGAUUCCCAAAUAAGAACCGCAUAGGGUAUUAAGAACAAAAUGAUAACAUAGUCAAGAUUAAGGACAAAAGAUCUCACAUCUAAGCCAGAACAACCCCACAAGCUGAGUUUUUUUAAUCGGCUGUGUUUGAUAAUAAGCUUCUGGUACAUAAGGUACAGUUUAUUGUUCAAUGCAUUUGGAAGUUCAUUAUCGCCACUUUCAUCACAAGGUGAAUUCUGGGAAUCAGGAUCACAUACGGUCAUCCCACAAUCCAUAAGUUCAAGAAGAGGUAGUUGAGCUGUGGCAAACUGAAUUCCACCUGAUAAAAGCGGAGAAACACAUCAAUGAAUAGAUUUAGUAAAAAUAGGACAUUCACAGGAUAAAUACGGCUAUGCCGGAGAUAAAGGUGUGAAUCUUAGACAUGAAAAUUACUUGAAGUUAUGUUAGGACAAAGAGCAAGGAGGAGUCUUGACAGUGUGUUUGGGAACACAUUGCAGAUCAUUCCAAUGCCACUAUCACUGAUGCUAGACCUGAGGCGAAGCAGCAAGCAUCAGGACUGAAGAUUAAUUGAUAAAAAGUUACCCCUUAGAACCAGGCCAGAUAAAUGGAUUAACCAUUUAAAGCUGGAGAAAAACAUACCCGCUGAGAUCAAGCAACUCUAAUUUUGAAUAACUUGAAGCAAUAGCAGCAACAGACGCAUCUGUGAUUUCUGAGCCAAGAACAAGCGAAAGCAUCCGCAAGCCCCUGAAUAAUAUCAACAACAAUCAGUAACUAGUGACUAGUUAUCCUCCAAUUGCAGAAAUCUAUAAAACAAUGCAUAGCAUUGAUAGAAAAUUUUACAAAACAAGUCCUCCAUUUAAACGCUAUGACUCCUGAUAAAGCAAGGCAAAGUCUAUAGGUUCUUAUGUGAUACAUUAUUAAAAAUGAACGUGUGGAACAAAAGGUUCAACAAACCUCAAAUUAGCAGCUGUAAGAGAAAGCACUACAGCAUGUGAAAGUCGAACUGAUGCAAUGUGGAUGUUUUUCAACCUUGGACAGCUUCUACCCAUACCAUCAGCCAUGGUUGUAAGAUCGGUAGUAUCAUUUUCCUGGCGAGAAAAUUCUAAGGAUAUCUCUUUCAAAUUGGGACAGUUAAAAACCUACAAUACAAGGCACAUAUAAACACAAAUUCAAUAAUAUUGCCCAAAACAGUUUUGAACUUGGAAAAACAUAAAAGGCCCUGAUGAAAAAGUUACCAUCUUGGAAAGGGAAUAAAGAUCAGAGAGCCAGAGUGUAGAUAGACUAGAUGAAGAGAGGACAAAGCCCCCUAAAUUAGAACAUCCUUCCAUCUUAAGACUCGUUAGGCAGCGUUUAUCAGCAACAAAACGACCCAAUUCAUCCCUAUACAUGAAACAUUAAUUAAAAGUUAAUCAGAACCACUUAAUCUACCAUUUAUUAACUUAAGCCAACUUAAAUUGCAAUUACACAUAAUCAAGACACGGAACAAAAUAUGACAAAAACAUUAAAGAACAAAUAAAUAUUACAUCGGAUUCAAUCAUAAACUGGACUUUUAGCAUAUCUAGACCAAUAAAAAGCAAAUAAACAUUCACCCUAGUCGCUUUGCUGUUAGAAUUUCAACCUCUUCUUCUUAUAAUUCAAAAAGAAAACAAAUAAAUAUUUACGAACACUAGUUAGGUCACGAAAUUAAAAGUAAGAAAAAAAGAUUGACCAAAAGACCAUUCAACUAGAUAUUUCUAUGCAUUUCACCCCAACUUUAACCUCUUAGUGACUCAUACCUUUCAAUUAUUUUACUGCUGAAAAGACUGAUAAUUUCAACCAAAUAGCUAGAUCUAAGCCAUUUCGGGGCCCCGACAAUCAAGCAACAACAGGAGUAGCAAAGUUUAUUAACUGAGCAACUAGAUAUACUAUUUUAAAGAUCUAAUGAUAAAUUUUAGGAAAAAAGGGGGAGAAAAAAAAGUAUACCCCGUGAUCCGAUUAACAGCCGUAUUAGAUGUCGAAAUCUCCAUAGACUCCAAAUUAGGGCAAGAAAACGCAAUGCACGCCAGCAUCGUUGCAUCCACAUCACUGUAAAACCCAAACAAGAAAAAAAUAUUGAGCAAAACAAGGGUAAACAAAAGUCCAAAAGCAGCAUUGAUCCCUCCCCCUACCCUUACAGAUCCCCAAAAUGAUGCAAACAGAAAACCAAUUUUACUGUUUCUUACAAUGAAACAAAUUGUUGGGAUACAUCUCUCUAAGUGAAUAAAGAUUUUCCAAUCAAAUUUUUUGUUGCAAAGUUAAUCCGAUCCCUUAUUAAUUAUCGCAUUGGUUUUAGCUUUUAAGUUUCAUAGCGUUUUGAUUAUAGACCAAUUUCCACUUCAUUUCACGGAUUAUGUGUUCUUAAAUUAUAACCAAAUUAAUUAUCAUUUCAUGAUUUUAUCUCGAUCUUCAUUGGUAUCAACCGACCCAACCAAUAAAAUCCUAGAUCCGUCAAACGUUGGCUUAGACUCGAACCUUUCCAUCUUAAGAGACAUCCUAACGAGGCUCGGGCAUUUCUUCAAAACCGAUCCGAUGAACCUGAGCUGACCCCUAGGUGGGACCAUAAGUCUCAGCUCCUCCGCCGCCCUCCACAACCUCUUCGUCGUUUCCCUCCAACCUUUACACACACUCGCCGCCGCCAAAAGUCCCGCCGGCGGCAAUCUCCUCAAGACCUCCCACAAACACCCAGCCGGUAACCCACCGGAGAUCAUCUCAUUAUCCGGAUCAAGAUCUGUAACCGGGUAGGGAGAAUUAGACCCAUCUAAAUCGCGUUCCGGCGAGUCAGCGCGGGUUUCGAUGUCGUCAAAGGAAAGCGCACGUCGGAGAUGCGUGUAAGACUGGCGUAUGGGUGGAGCGUGAGGUGGACGGGAAGCGGAGGAGGAAUUUUCGACGGUAACGGCAGAUGGAGAUGAGGUAGGAGUAGAAAUCGAAGUAGGGUUGGUGCUACUGUAGAGAUGGCAAACAUGGCCUUUCUUAGGAAGACCACAUCUGCCACAAUUGUAACUGCCGCGGCGCUUGGCCGGUUUGAAGUCAAACGCCGCGGCGGCAGGAAAGGAAGUGGAGGUUGACGAAGAAAUGUGAGGCUGUGGGUGGUGCAUCGCCGCCGAGCAAUGAAAGAAAUAAAUUAUUGGAGUGAAAGGAGGAGGGAUUUGGGUGAAGACUAGAGAGGAAAGAAAUAUUGAAAAUAAAGGGAGCGGGGAGGGGCGGGAGAAAUGGCUACUUUUGGCGCCUGUUUUCGAAACCUGUAAUGGAAAAUAAUAAUAAUAUUAUUAUUAUUAUGAGGUGAGGGAGGAGCGUCGCCAGUGCCUGGUUUAUGAUGUUUAUUUACUGCUUUACCCUCUACCUUUGAAGGUAGCACAGGCAAAGUGGAAAACGUUAAACAAAUAAAACGCCGUUUUUUUCCUUUUUAAUGAUAUUUAUGAAAUUUUGAUAAAUAAAUAAAAAGUGAUAUAUAUGGAAUGGGAAAAUAUUUUCAGUAUUUGGCUGUAAAUUGGACAAAUUCGUUUGCCAGCAGCAAACACUUUUUAUUACCAUUUUUAUUAUUGAGGACCUUGAAAAUGAAAUGUACCUAAGAAAUUAAGGGUCUGUUUGAUUGGCAGUAAAAUGUUUUCCGUAAAAUGAUUUCUGGAAAAUGUUUUACUUUUCUAUAAAAUGAUUUACUGAAAAAUAUUUUCUGGUGUUUGAUUGAAUCUGUGUAAAAUAUUUUCUAUUGUUUGACAGAUUUCCUGAAAAUAUUUUCUGAAAAAGUUGCUUUUACAUAUAUUAAUAAAUUUAUAUACAUAUUAAUAAAUUUUAUAUUUUAAAUUAUUUUUACGCAUAUUGCAAUGAUUUAUUUAUAAAUAAAUUUUUUAUUAAUAAAAGUUUUAUGUAAUUAAAUUCCAAAUGUUCAUCUAUUUGUAGAUUAUACCGAUUUGAUUUUACUUCUUCAUUAUUAAAACAUUUAUUUGUAUUUAAAUUUUAUAUUAAUUUGAUUCUACUUUUAUCCAAUCUGAUUCUUGUGAUACAUAUAUUUAACAUGGGAUUUAAAUUAAAAUAAAAAUACUGUAAUUAUUAGAAAAUUUCAUUUUUUUUAAAAACUAGUAUAUUGUAUUAACUCGUACUAAAUGAUAUGUCAAACUUAAAUUGCUACAUUAAUAUAUAUUGGGUAACUAAUGCAAGUGUAAUAUGCAAUUAAAAGCUAGAAUUUAAAUGUUACCAACACAAAAAAUAAAGACGAGAUAAUAAAAAUUAUUGAAAAAUAAAAGCAAAACAGUAAUCCAUAGCACAACAAGAAACUAGUUAUAUUGUUGUUCUCUUUUUUCUAUCCAAACCCAAAACAAAACAUCAAAACCGCAUUUAGUACUGCCAGAGUCUUUUAUGGUUCCAUCUAAGAUUUGCAAUAAAUGAAUUUGAAACUACUUAGGACCAAUGUCUUUGAGAGCACAGAUCUGCUCUUCCCCCAUUGCAGACAUAACAGACACAACCAGGUCUUUCCCCUCAGCAAAACCAUCCUUGAUCUGCAAUCACACCAAAACACAUGAAUGUAAAAUUAUAUAACUACCAUCUUCAUGAUAUGUAAAUUGGAACCAACAUUUUCAUGUUUUGAUAUAUGGACAUCACAUCAGGCACCAGUCGCAAGAGAUAUUAGUAAAAUGGAACUCAUAUUUUCAUGUUUAGAAUGUGUUUGUCAUGUAUAUAUAGACAUUUGCAUCAGGUACAAGUCGUGUGAGUUAAAAUAAUGUCUAACAACCCAGUAAAAUUAUAGCAGCACAUAUAUAAAAGAACAAUACAGUUUAGCUAGUACAACAUGAGAAAAAUGACUAUAUUUCCCUAAAAGAAUAUGGGGUUCAUAUUACAAACCUUGUUCUUGAAAACCAAGUCCUGCAAACAAGUGAAGCCAGAGAAAAGACCUUAUGUAACACCAUUAGACCACAGUCCAUGCACAAGAAAACCAAACAGUCUAAAAAGAAAGGAAAUAUUAAUAAAGGAACUCAAAACGGACCUUGACUUAUCUGAAAAAGGAUCUCAGCUCGUCCAAUGACUUCUCAAAACUUCCAUACAUUCUAAUGGAUAACCUUAGCCACUUCGAAAUAUGUGCUCUAUUCUUUUCAUUUUGAUCACAAAAAACCAUUUCCAUUUAAAUAUGCAUUAAAACGAAAGGGGAUAAUUACUAUNNNNNNNNNNNNNNNNNNNNNNNNNNNNNNNNNNNNNNNNNNNNNNNNNNNNNNNNNNNNNNNNNNNNNNNNNNNNNNNNNNNNNNNNNNNNNNNNNNNNNNNNNNNNNNNNNNNNNNNNNNNNNNNNNNNNNNNNNNNNNNNNNNNNNNNNNNNNNNNNNNNNNNNNNNNNNNNNNNNNNNNNNNNNNNNNNNNNNNNNNNNNNNNNNNNNNNNNNNNNNNNNNNNNNNNNNNNNNNNNNNNNNNNNNNNNNNNNNNNNNNNNNNNNNNNNNNNNNNNNNNNNNNNNNNNNNNNNNNNNNNNNNNNNNNNNNNNNNNNNNNNNNNNNNNNNNNNNNNNNNNNNNNNNNNNNNNNNNNNNNNNNNNNNNNNNCCAACUGGUUAUCAUAUAAUAUACAUUUAGUGAAGAUGCCUAUGAAUCUCACUAGAGGCAAUGCAAUAAACCAUCAAUGAAUACUUUGUUUCAUAUAAAAGAUUACCCUAGUCCACAUCUUAUCCUAUCCAUCUACGUUUUGGGGAAGAGCUUUGCUCUCUUCCAUAUCUGCUCACCUAGCAGACAAAUAGUGAACUAUCACAAGUCCAUGGCAUCACGGGUAAUUUGAGCAAGGGAUUAGACAUUGGCCACAAAGAUGUUCCCUUGUAUAUUCAUUUGAUAGUAAGUUGUGUGAUUUAUCAAAAACAAAAGUAAGUUGUGUGAUGUUAGCAUUUUAUAUUCAGAAGCUUGUGUAAUAGCUAAAACCAAAUCCAAAAUGAUUACCUAGUAGGAUGAUGGCAUCAUUUAACAAUCACAAUUGAAGGGUUAGGGGAGUUUAAAGAGAAAUUCAGUAAUCUAUUUUUUAUCUCUCUAAAUCAGGGCUACUUCAAAUCUUUUCAUACCUCAUGUGUCAUGUUAUGAACUGGAGCAUCUGCAUCUCCGCCAAUAUUUUUAGCAAAACCUUCAUAUGACUGAACCCCCGGCAGAGAUCCAGGCAGCUGUUGAAGGAAAUUACUGCAUCCAUCACCAUCGCCAUCUUUCUGCCAAAAGAAAAAAAGAUUGAAACAUGCAUAUUUUAUCUCCUAAUAUACACGGUACUAUUUCCAGAUUAGAUGGGGAAGACAGAAAUCAAUUAUUACCUGAGGACCAAAGUUUUUACAUUCUUUUUCCUUAGAAGAAAGAUCAAAUCUAUCAGAGUAAAACUUUUGAAAUCCAUCAGAUAUCCCUUGAGCAGAACCUUGGUCAUCUUCAAUCUUCAAUCUUCAACAACUUUUGAAAUCCAUCAGAUAUCCCUUAAGCCAAGACCCGGCGAAGAAUUCAUGGUAAAUUUGCCUGAGAAAGAGAGAAAGAGAGAAGAGAAGAUGAAGAACAGAAGAAGAAAAAGGAAUGAAGAAUGGAAGAAGAAGAAGGAGCCUUACCUAGAUUAAGGAGGAACCGGAAGAGGUCCUUGACCAAACUGAUUUGCAGCACAAGGGGAAGGGAAAAGGGAAAGGGGAAAGGAAGAAGAAGGCGUCAUUUUCCGGAAAAUGUCUUACCGAGUUUAAAAGCGUAAGACAUUUUCCCAAAAUUUGUAAUAGGUUUUCCCGUGUUGAGGAAUUGGUUUUACAAAAGGAAAAUAUUUUCCUGCUAUCAAACACUGGAAAACGUGUAAAACCAAUUCCAGAAUUGGUUUUCCCUCUAUCAAACACAGCCUAAUUUAGGUUUAAUGGCGUAAAAAAUUUUCAAAUUAUUUUUAAAAAAGUAAUUAAGUUUUUUUUUCAUUUAAUUGGAUACAUGAACUUUUAAAAUGUAUAAAAAAGCCUUUAAAUUUUUCCAGAAAAAGCAAUUAAGCCCAUGCUCUUUUUUUUCACUCAAUUGGAUACUUGAAUUGCCAAAAUGCAUCAAAAAGACUAGGGAUGGAUCUAUGGGGGCAGGCAGGGGACCCGGCCCCCCCAAAAAUGGAAAAUUUUCUAUUUAGGCCCUUUACAAUUUAUAGAAUUUUAAAUUAGUAAUGGUAAAAUUGCACUUUGGCCCACCAAAAAUGAUAAAAAUUUGAUUUAAUCCUCUAAAAAUUAUAAAUAUAUAGGCUAUUAAAAUGGAGAAUUCUAUUUUUAUUAUCAUAAGAAUAUAUAAUUUAAUUUCGCCCCCUAAAUCGUAUUUUUGGAUCCGUCACAGAAAAAUACCCUUUGACUAUUAACUUUAACGGUCAAUCGUUAAAGCUAUAGAAAAAUUAUAAAAUGCUUCUUUUGGUUCGAUAAUUUUUAUAUUUUUUUACGAAAGUUAUAUUUCUUUACUUUUUUUAUAAUUUUCUCAAAACUUUAUAAAAUUUUAUAAUUUUUUUCUAUAUUUAUGUAUAUUUUAUAAAAAAAAUUACGAUUUUUAUAAAAUUUUACAUUUUUAAUAAUUUUUUACGAUUUUUAUAAGUUUUAUCUAUAUUUUAAUAUUUUUAUUAAAAUUCAAUAAUUUUUAUAACUUUUAUGGAUUUUUAUUUUUAUCAUUUUUUGGUCACAUGUCACGCUAUGAUUGUGACACGUGGUGGCUUUAACUAAAAAAAAUUAGGGGCGGUAACGGUCAAAGGGCCUUUUUCAGUGGUGGAUCCAGAAAUACGACUUAGGGGGGCAGGGGCGAAGUCAAAAAAAUUUUGGGGGGUCAAAAUUAAAUUAUAUAUUUUUAUGGUAGUAAAAAUGCAAUUUCGUCAUUUUAAUAACUUAUAUCUUUAUAAUUUUUAGAGGAUUAAAUCAAAUUUUUAUCAUUUUUGGGAGCCAAAGUGUAAUUUUAUCAUUACUAAUUUAAAAUUUUAUAAAUUAUAAAGGGCCUAACUGGAAAAUUUUUCAUUUUAGGGGGGUUGGGGCCCUUGCCAGCCUCACUAGAUCCGUCACUAGUCUUUUUUAUAUAUUUUGACAGUUCAAAUACCUGAUUGAGUGCAAAAAAAAAUAGGGGUUUAAUUGCUUUUUUUGAAAAUUUUUAAGGGCCUUUUUGGUGUAUUUUAAAAGUUUAAGUACCCAAUUGAGUGCAAAAAAAAAGGGACUUAAUUGCUUUUUUUCCAAAAAAUUUGAGGACUUUUUACACCCUUAAGCCAUUAAUUUAUUAAUGAAAUAAAUGUCUAAAUUUUAUAUUUUUUCUUUUUAAAAAAUAUUUUUUUGAUUUUAACAGCCAUGGUAAACAGUAUUAAACGUUUUAAAAGCUUUUUUUUCCACACUUUUCAAUCUCAAUCAUAAAUUAGUCUUAAGUCAAAUAGCACCAACAUCACUGUUCCAAAUGAUGAUAAAGUACUAAGAGUGUUUCAUAUGAAUAUAUUCCACAUUAGUGACCAUUGAACUUGUAACAUUGUAUAAGGAAUGAAUUGGUUACAUGAACUUUUAUAAUUGUCAAGAGAUGCAAUAUGUGUUAUGUGAUGUGGUAUUAAAGAUUGGCUAGUGUAAUUGAAAUAAGUUGUGUUACAAGUUUAAGGUAUAUUGAAAAUUAAUAUGAAAUGAAAAUAUGAUAAAGAUGUGAGUGAGAAUUGUGAUAUGAGGUCAUUAUUGUGAAUGGUGAAAAUAGAUAGGUUCCGAUAAUAUCUACUCUUUUUGACGUAAUGGUUAAAACUACUCAUAGCCUCUCCCCAAUCCAUAAAUAGGAGGACAAAGCACUUUAGUGCACUCAAACAUAUGUCUUCCUGCAUUGGCAACAAUGCCUAUGCCAGUCGAGCUAAGACUCAAUCGGUAGAGGUGAGAACAUAUUUAAAUAUUCUGAAAAGAGUCAAGCGCUACUAAUGACUUAAUGGUAAGUGUGCAAUAGAAAAGUAUAAUUGCUUUACUAGUUAAAUGCGUGUAUUAUUUAUGGGUAGAUUGCUCAGUGUAUAUAUGUAAAAGGUGGUCUAGUAUGUGAUGGUCUUUUAAAGAAUAUUACAUUAGAAAAAUGAGGUGAAUUUGGUUACGAUUGUUUGUGAUUUACAAAGGAUGAGACUUUGGAUGGCAUGAAAGUGAAUUGAAAUGGUUUUUGGGUUAAUCAACAUAUAAGUAUUAAUACCUGAAGUAGAGGUAUCGAUUCUAUCUGGAUCAAUGUAAAAAAGGAUUCCAUUAAGGUGCAAAGUAAUGAAACCAUGACCCUUGGUAUCAAUACUAUCUAGCCCAAAGGUACUGAUACAUUUUCUAAGGUAUCGGUACCACAAACCUUUAUGUUGCUUAAAGAUAUUUGAUAUUAGGAGCUGUUUUAGAUUAAUGAUAUUUAAUCAAUGAUGAACUACUUAAGGCAUGAACUUGUUUUCUAAGAUCAAUUAAAAAUUGGUUUUGAUCGACAAUGCCUUUAGGCACCGGAUGUAGCAUAACUUAUCCAAGAUUGUCUACAAUCCAAGUAAGAAGUGUUACAAGUCAACUCAAGCUCAAAUCAAACAUCAUGUUUUUAAGUUUGUUUGUACUUAAGCUCUUUUUAUAUAAUAAUAUUGUAAUUUUAUAAUAUAAAAAUGAUAAGGAAUGAGAGUGGUAGAACGGAAGCGGAUAGUAAAGUUUGUUCAAGUCGCGAAUUAGACUUAGGGCUUUAAACAUUCAAAAAGAAACUUGAAUUUUGGCACAACCUGAAACACAAAUGAAUCCAAGUCAGAUAAAAAUAAAGAAAACAAUUAAAAAUAAAUAACUAAGAUGAAUAAAAUAGUAUAAUGAAAUCUAAUAUUAUAAUUAAUAAAAAAUAAAAUAAAGAAGAUAGAACGUGGCAUGUAGAAGUCCUAAGAAGCCUUGGAAACACAAAGAAUCCACAAUUCCCUUUAAGCGGCUCUAAUUUCUCCUCCAAGAAAGAAAACUUGGUAAUAAAAAUUUUGAAGAUGAUCCCCACAAUCUGAAAAGAUUGUUAAAACUCUUCUAAAAGAAACUCAAGAGAAAUUCUUGAAAAAAAAAGUUUAUUAACUCAAAAGAGAAGUUGAAUAAUAAUGAAUUGUAUCAUUUGUGUACAAUGCAAAGGCCUAUAUAUAGGCUAGCUAAAUAAAUCUAAAUAAAACUCUUAAGUAUGCUAGAAUUCUAAUUUAAUCUAAACAAGAAAUAGUUUUAAACUAAACUUUCUUAUUAACACAUAACUCCUAAAUAACUUAAAAUACUUAAUAAUUAUCAAAUUUUUUGAAUAAAAUAAUAAUCAAACAAUAAUAGCUAAUAAAUACAAUAUUGGACUCAUAUAUAAUAAAAAUUAAGCCUAAAACCUGAACCCAAUAUGAAACGUCUAGGUUUGUGGGACCGAUUGGGGUCUUUGAAGUGAAGUGUCUAAGUUUGUUAACAUUUUCCACAUGGGCUUGUCAUAAUAGAUUGAAAGCUUAGGCACUCGCACAAAAUUAGUCCCUUCUAAUUCAUCAUUGCUCCAAAAUUCAUCGUCUUGAAGUUUCAACCAAAUUUUUUUUGUGAUAAAGUCUUGAACGAAUAAGUUGAGUUUUGUCUUUAGCUGCUUAGAUUUGGAUCUCAUAAUUGGGUCUUGAGGGAAACUAAGCCCAUCUCUAUUAUGGUAUUUGAACUGGACUGAGAUGCUCGUAUCAAAAAAUAUAUACCAAUAAAAAAUUCAAUUAAGCUUACAAGUUCAAUUCAAUUUAAAGCUCGAGCUUAACUCGAAAAUCAAUGAUGCGAGCACCAAAACCCAACCUUAAGCCAUGGUGGUGAUGGGCGUAGUUUCCCUCAAGGCCUAAUCACACAUUGCAAAUCCAAGUAACUUAAAGCGAAGUUGAAUAAGCUAAUUGAAGAAUUUAUAACCAAAGGCUUACAAAUUUAUAAAAAAAAAAAAGAUUCAAGCUUCAUAUGGAUUUUGGGUCAAUUUAAACAAUAAUGUUGAAUUAGAGGUCUAAAAGCCCAAUACUUGGCUCAAGAAUGCAUCUACUGAUUUUGGACCUAUUUGGAAUAUGCCAACAAGCCUAUAUGACAUGUUUCCUUGUGCAAAUCAACCUACAUGUCUAGCCUAUGGAGUUUAGCUCAUUUAGAUUUGAUGUAACAUCGCUAACCUAUAUUCGUCCCCGGAACAGGGUUAUAGAGUAUUACCAAAAUUUACAGGUCAAAUAUAGACAUUUCAUAUCAUUUCACAUUCAUAUCAGAAAUUAAUCAUAAUGUCCCUUAUAUGAGCCCUCGAGGCCCAAAAUAUGCAUUAGAAACAGAAUCGGGACUAAACCGGGUACUCAGAGAAUUUUUCGCAAAAUUUCAAUUUUUCCCAGGUGCAGGGGACACACACCCAUGUGGCCAGGUCGUGUGUCUCACACAGUCAAGAGACACACCCGUGUCUUAGGCCGUAUGAACAUUCCAAAUAAGGGCACACGACCAUGUCCCAGCCCGUGAUCAAAUUAGGGUGUUCUCUGACUUGAGUCACACGGCCAAGCCACAUGCCCGUGUGCUAAGCCGUGUGAGCAUACUGACUUGUAUUAAUUAGGUGUAGGGAUCACACGGCCAAGUCACAUGCCCGUGUGCUAGGCCGUGUGAAAAAUUUUGGGUAUUAUGUUUUACAAUUCACAAGAUGCAGGGGACACACGUGUGGACAAAAAUAGGUCAUUUUCAAUGCCACAUUUCUCACCCAAUUUGUUUUUCACCCACAUUAACACUUUUAACAUAUCAACAUGUCACAAUAGGGCAAUCAAAACAAGUAAAUAUCUUAUCUUAAAUAUAACAUAAUACCACAUAUUUCUAAGUAUCCAAACUUACCAAAAUGACCAACUUCACAUAUAUGUAUAUUUUACAAAUUAAGCUAACUCGAACCAAUUUUCAAUAUGCUUAUAUGAAUUCCAUCAUUCAUCCAUUUCAAACACAUAUCAAACAUGAUAAGGUCAUUUAUAUAUAUAUCAACUACAAGCCAUACAAAUGGCUAUUUACAACAAAAUACUUUUAAACCAACAUUGGCUAAAUUACCCUAUACUUGCCAUUAUAAUCGAAAUUAGUUUUCUAUAUGUACCAAAAUGGGUCGAUAGAUAGUGUGAGAUAUCUCCGCCAAGCUUCCAACCCAACGAGCUUCUGAAUUACUAAAAAAACAGAGGAAAUUAAACAGAGUAAGCAUUUAAUGCUUAGUAAGUUCAUAUAUUCUAAAACAAAUGGGCUAGUAGCCUAAACAUAUAACUUCAUCAAUCAUGUUAGUCAUUUAUUUCACAUGAAUAUCAAGAAACUUGUAUGAGCUCAUCAAAUAUGAAAUUUACAUGUAUUUCGAGUAUAUACGGAUAAUGAUUCAUUUCGAAUUCAUAUAUUUUCUCAUAUCAGGAUUUUGCUCGUUGAAUCAUUUAAAAUAUCGAUGGAUACACGGGUAGUACACACAAAGUGUACAAAUCUGUAAUCUGUCAAUCCAUAUUCAGGAAUGCUCAUACGAGCACGUAAACGAGAAGCUAUUUCGAGCCAUAUAACGAGAAGCUCCGGAGAGCCAUUAAUCGGGAAGCUCAUGAAAGAGCCUUUAAUCGGGAAGCUCAUGAAGGAGCCUUUAAUCGGGAAGCUCCGAAGAGCCAUAUAUCGGGACGUUCAUAAGAGUUGCAGUGUAUCCACAAAACAUGCAGGAUCACAACCAAUCGGGAUGCUCCAAAGAGCUAUUAACAGGAAGCUUGCAAUAACCAUAUAACGGGAAGCUCAUGAGAGCUAAUAACGGGAUGCUCUUUCGAGUUGUGAUGUGUCCGCAACACAUGCAGGACCACAACCAAUUCGGGAACCCUAUAUCUAUUGAAUAUCAUUUAUUCAAACAGGACUUAAUACUUGUCAGUCAUCGUCGGAUAUGUGAUUAAUUUCAUAUACAUGGUAAUAAUACAAUCACAUAUGUACAAUUCAAUUCAAACAUAUAAAUAUACAAUUUAGUUACACGAACUUACCUCGACAAUGUUCGUGUACAUAAAAGCUACUAAUCUGCUACUUUCUCUUUUCCUCGACUUAACUCCGUAUUUGGCCUAUCCGGAUCUAUACGAAUGAAUUUAACAUCAAUUUUAAUUCUAUUUACAUUCAAUUCAAUCUAAUUCACAUCUUAUGCAAAAUUACCAUUUUUCCCCUAUACUUUUAAUUAAUUCUGAUUUCGUCCCUAGGCUCGGAAAAUGAAAUUCAUGCAAUUUAAUCAUUGUUCAAAGCCUAACCGAUUUUUACAUGUAACAAUAGCAGCCCAUGUAUUUCAUAAAAUUCAGAAUUUUUCCAUGAAUUUUACAUCUUUCCAAUUUAGUUCCUGAAUCAAAAUUUCAUCAAAAUUCACUUUACAAAAGUUGUUUAUCUAUCAACAACCUUUUCAUUUUCUACCAUAAAACUUCAUAAUUCUACUAUAUUCAUCCAUGGAAAAACCCUAAUACUUUGAUAACUUUACAAAUUAAUCCCAGAGAUAGCUAGAUUAAGCUAUUACGAUCUCGAAAAUAUAAAAAUUAUUAAAAAUGGGACAAAGAUACUUACCCAAUUAAGCCAAAUAAGCUUGCUACCGUCAAGUUCUUCUAACAAGGGUUUCCAUGUAAAAAUAAUUUGAGAAAGAUGAUAAUAUGAUGAUAUUUUUAAUAUUUAAUCAGUUAUCAUCUUUUUAUCUUUUACUUUCCAAUUUCAUCCCUUUCUUUAUCAAAUUUUCCAUUGAUGACUAAUCAUACUUAUCUACUAACUCCUCUUAAUGGUCUAUUUUCCAUAUAAGGACCUCAAAUUUUGAAUUCCAUAGCUAUUUGAUCCCUUUAGAUACUAGAAUUCAACUUUUGCACUUUAUGCAAUUUGGUCCUUUCUAUCAAAUUAGACAUAUAAUCAGUAAAAUUUUCUUAACGAAAUUUUCACAUGACAUUUCUAUCAUAACGCAGACCAUGAAAUAAUUUUUUUUAAAAAUUCCUUCUGGACUUGGAUUUGUGGUCUCGAAACUACUAUUUCGAUUUCACUGAAAAUGGGUUGUUACAUUUGACUUGUUUCAUGUAGGACUUAGUGAUUUUUACUUAAGUUUAUUUUGGACUAAUCUGUCUUGCCCCAUUUAGAUUGAUAGUUGAUAAACAUAGUUAUUUAUUGUAAUUUUCGAUCCAUGGCUAUUUACCAGGAGGAUGGUCGAAUUUCAUUAGCUUUUAUACUUAGUCUCUCUUUUUUUCAUUAUGUUAGUUACUUGGUGGCUAAGCAAGUUAACUUCAAUUAGAAGUCUUCUUACUUGUUGUCAAAUUAGGACUUAAAGUUAGAGUGCAAGUAAGAAACAUUGCUUUGGGCUUAUUUGUUUCCCUACAUAAGGCUAGUCGUCCAUCUUUGUAAAGUUCAAAUUGGUUUUCCAUUAGUUCAAUACUCUUGAAGUUUAUUGUUUACAAGAUUCUAUUCUUGUGAGUUUAAGAAGUUUCUUUCAAUUCAAUCUUUCAUAGAUUGUCAGUGAUUGUUCAUCACCCUUCAAUUUACUAAGUGUCAAAUUUAAGCGAUUCAUUAGAGCCUCUAUUGGUGUUUGUUGAAGACUCUCUUCAAAAGACUCUAUUGGACAUCGCUUUUUCCAUAUCUACUUCUCCAUUUUUCCUAUCUUUUCUAAUCUUUAUUAAUCUUGAUUUUUGGAUUAUAAAUAUUUUUCCUAUGCUGAUUUAUUUGUUAAUUUCCAGUUUUCAAGAUCCAAUUCCUUCAAGUUGGUUUCAACAUUAUUGGCUUUCAAGAAACUUCAAAUCACUUAAUUGGUUGAGUCUUUAUUUUUUUUUCCUUUCUUUUCCAUUCGAUUUUCAUCAUCUUCGUUACUUAACUUGAUGGUCUAUUUUUUCUAGGUCGAGAAACUUGUAAAUCAAGUUGUGUUCAUUCUUCUUGGGGAUCAAGAUAUUGCUUUUGUUUGCAAUAUAAUCUCCCUUUCAAUUGAAUCCUCUUUUUGGCUUAUUCUCUUAUGUUUGAUUCUUCUAUGCGCUUGUUUCUAGUCUAUUUUGUUGUUUAUUUCCAGAUUUGAUCAAAAACUUUUAAGUCCACCAAUAAUUUAUCCUUAAGCCUUAAGAAACCUUUCAAACACUAAUUUUGAGUUCUCUCUUGAAAAAUCAUUUGUAGCCUUAUUCCUCAUUCUUUCUUGGUUGUUUUCCAUUAUUUUCAAUUCAUCUCUUUGCUAAAUUCAAAUAUGGAAAUUUUCAAGUCUGUUUGACCACUGUUCAUACGCAAGAUUCAAUUCCUUCACGAGUCGUUUGUACUUGACUGAACCAGAAUUGGAUUCUAAGUUUUUUCCAUCUUUGGAUCUUUUCUUUAUUGAUCUUGUUGCUUAUUGUAGUUUGUACUAAUUUCUCUUCUCUUGUCAAAAUUUCAAAUUGCUUUGAUACCCAUAAACAUUUUUUUCAUCGAGAUUCAGUUCUUGGUUCCUCUCUUUGGGCUAAAAAUGGAUUCCAUUGUUGUUUACAUUUUAGGGUGCCCCAAAAUUGUUUUACCUAGAAAUUUUGAAUUGUUUACUUCAAUAGAGAGGAUAAAUAAUAUUAUUUUCACCUAAUUUUUUUUGGUGGAAAAAGAAAGUAAACAGACUAGCUACAUAAGCUAAACCAUCCCUGAAAAUAGGGAGACCUCAAACAAGCUUAAACCAUUUCUUCUAUCCUGUACUAAUUUGACCACGCUAUUAGCAUCCUGAUUAUUCUCUCUAUAGAUGUGACAAAUACUCCAAUGUCUAAACUGCGACAAAAUCUGAUGAAUUCUUUUGAUCAAAGUAGAAUUGGAACUAUCGGAAGAAUUCUCAUUGAUGGCCUUAGUCGGCUUAAAACUAUUAGUUUGAACUAACACAUUAUCAUAACUCCUAUCUAUUAAGAAAAUCAAACCAUCCAAAAUGCCCCACAAUUCAGCAUCGAAAACAUAACAGUUCCCCAAAUAUUUUGUUAAAGCUAAUAACCCACCCCCAUUUCAAUCUCGUACAAUUCCCCCUACUGCAACAAAACCUGUUUCAUUUCUGACUGACCCAUCAAUAUCCAAACAAACCCAAUUACCUGUCAAGUAUGGCAUUGAAAUCGAUCUUCGGGGCUCAGUCAAUGUACCCCUCUUAAAAGAGACAUACUGUUUUGCCCAACUAUAGGACACCUUGAUAAUUUCACUAAUAUUCCAGGACACAUCCUGAAAAAUGAAGAGAUUUUGAUUCUUCUAAAUGCGCCAAAUGAUGAUCCCAAAUAGACAUUGCCAGUUCACAUCUCCCAAGCACCUGCCAUGCUAAUUCUACAAGUUUGAUACAAGCCAUUCCUGUAAAUUACCAGAAUAAAACCAAGCAUGUUGUUGUACUAGAAUUAACUGAUCAUACUUUUGGCACUAUUUUACAAUGGAAAAAAAUUCCCAGUGCAAAAAAAGAAAUUCAAAACAUAUUAUGUGGUAAUUUAAUGCCCAAACUUUCCAGAUCAAAAUUUUAUUAUUUUAGGAAGCCUUAUAUUAAAUUUAAUUAUUUUAGCACAUCGAGAAUACCUUUAACAAAAAUUUCAGGUUGUAUUUCAUUGUUUUAGUUUUUGGGUAGUAUUUGUCCUUAGCCUUAGGGUUUUCAUUUGUUAACCUUUUUAUUGUUCAUUAUUGUUUUCUAACAUUUUCUUGUUUCUUGUGUUAGUAGGUAUGAUAAAAGUUGUCUUUCUUACAUCUGUACAACUUUUAUAUUAGGAGUCAAGCUUUCUUUAACUUCAUAAAGCCUUAGGCAUGUUUUGUUAUUGAACAUCACCACCAAAUCUAAAGAAUUAUUAAGUUUUAUUACACUUUAAAAUUUACAAGUGUAUGAAUCUUAUUUCUUUUUUUUUUUUUGCUUCUUAGAGUAAUUUUUUCUUGAGAGUGUUAACGACGAGGUCUUAUUAUUUGAUAUUUUCUUUGUCAGUGUUUUUUAUUUUCAAAUUGUUAAUAUGGUUCGUACAAGAUAUUGAGGUGGCAAUGAUGAAAGUAGGCGACCACAAGUAACUGUGGAGAAUGUGGCUAGUAUAAUAGAUAAAUUGUGAUGAGAUCUUAUGGAAAUCAAUGACAAAUUCAAGGCCUUAUUUGCCAAAUAAAAAGAAAUGGAGAAUUAAAGGGAUAUUGUAAUGGCUACAAUGAGAAAAAUUUUGGAAGAACUGGUUGAGUCAUGCCAAGCUCAAUAAUAAGUCAAAGAUACUUAUGAUCACGAUGAACAACCUCAAAAUCCUAGAGAUUGAGGUAGAUGGGCGAUUCAUGACUUUAUUGAUCAUUCCCAUAGUGGUGAUCAUAGGCUACCUUCUUUAGCUAAGCCCAAGCUUUCAAUUUCGUCCUUCAAAGGGAAAAAUGAUCUGAAUGCAUAUUACGAAUGAGAGAGCAAGAUUGAACAAAUGUUUAUCUAUUACAAGUGUUUGGAUGAACAAAAAGUGCAAUUAGAAACCUUGGAAUUUUCCAACUAUACCUUGAGUUAGUAGACUCAGUUGUUGUCCGAUCAAAGAUUAAAUCGUGAUAGACCAAUUGACAUAUGGAACAAGUAAUGCAAAUGAUAUUUGUGGCUUCCUAUUAUUACAAGGAGAAUAAGAAAAAGCUCUGAUGUCUUGUUUAAUGAGCAGACUCAAUUGAUGAAUAUUACAAUGAAAUGAAAUUACUCAUGAUUCAAGCAAACAUAACUGAUGAGGAAAAAACAACUUUGGAUCAUUUUAUUAAUAGGUUGAAUUUUAAGAUCUUUGAUACUCUUGAACUCUAAACUUAUGUAGACCAAAAGGAGCCCUUCAAAAGGCCAUUCAAAUUGAACAACAAAUUCAAUAACAGUCUCAAAGAAAAUAUCUGAGUUCUUUUAUGUAGAGGGGUCCGAAUUCUACUCUUCAUUCAAAGGAUGUGAAGCCUUUGUAGUUAGAUAGAAAUUACACACUUCUACAAAAGAAGUACUCCAAACCCGACUCGAUCGCCAAGCCCGAGCUACAGAAUGCCACAUUUGUUAUCAGAGCAACUACGAUCAAAUAUAUUCAAUUUAUUUUUAUUAUACAUUUAAAUAUGGCAACACAUAUAUAUGAUAUGAUAUACACUCAAUUCUGGUUUUUACACGACUUUGCGAAAUCUCUAUUACUAGCCCGAGGUCGAAUUAAGACCAAAUCGUAAAGAAUUCAAAAUCUCGUGUUAACAUCACGACUUAAAGGGGUUCCUCAUCACAACACAACAUACUGAUUAGGCUCGUCGCAACUACAAGGGGUCGACAUCGCUAUGUGACUAUCAGUUUGCAAAUGGUCUAAAAUGGCAUCAACCUACAACUGCCUAAAACAACCAAUUCACAAUUUCAUACCACAUUUCCAGCCCAAUACACAUUCUUAACAAGUUCAAUUCUAAGCAAAACUACCUUGUUUAUAUAUUUUUUACAAAUAUCAUACACCAUUUGCACUAUUAUCAUUCAACAUAUAGGUCAAUUCAUGAUCCAACCAUUCACAACAUUUAACAUAUGAACAUACUCAAAUAACCUUAACAUAACAACAUCUUUAUGCAUUUCAAACCUUAUAUAAUACUCAAAUUCAUGAUUAAAUCAUUUGGCCAUUCUCAAAAUACCAUUCUAACUUCAAUUAUGAACAUGAUCUCAUAUUAGACCAAAAACUGACUCAACUUAGGUACAUGCCAUAUAUUUAACAAAACAGGACUAUACAAAAUUUAUUAAGUUGAGGACCCCUGAAUGGAUGCUGGAUCACACUUCAGAGCUUUGAGAUUACCUAAACCUGCACAUGGAGAAAACAAACCAUACGCUAAGCAAUAAUGCUCAACAGUACUUCCAUGAUUCAAGUAAAUAUAACACAAACUGAAAUCAAAUGCAUACACUCAAUUCAAAUUCAAAUUCAAAUUAUAGCCAUUUCACAUACCAAGGGCUUCCAUUACUGUAUGAAACAUGCAUAUAACCAUUUCAUAUGAAUGAACAUACCAUAUUUCUUAUUACUUACCAUACCAAUUUCUAUUUAUUUCACAAUCUACUUACUCAUUUCUUACCAUUGUUUACAAGAAUAUAUUUAUACCUAUUAUUUCAUCAAUUUAAGUUCUCAAUUUCAUUAUACCAUUUUAAGCACAUUCGAGCUUAGCUUGAUAACUUAUUAAUAUUAUAUCCUAUUUUCAAUUCACGGUUUCUUACCAUUUCAAUUCAACUUAAACAUAAUAGUAGCUUAGCUUGAUCACUUAUUGGUAUAACAAUUAUCGAUCACUUGGCAUUCAAUUUGGUUAUCUUUGGCACAUAAUGUCUUAACUAGUCACUUGCCAACAUUAUCAUUCAAGUAGGUUAGACAUAAUUGCAUAACAUGAGUAACAUCACUUAAUACCAAAUCAAUUUCAUAUCACAAAGCAAGUUAUAAAUACAUACCAUUUCAUAUUCAAUACAUUUUAGUUUUUCCCAUUUCAAUUAAGAUAAAUAUCGUCUGAUGAAACUAUAAUAAAACGUAUUCGGAUACAAGGGUGAACUAUGUUGCUCACAUAAGCUGAAUUUAUAUCAAGGUUACUCACACAAGCUGGAUUUAUAUUAAGGUUUCUCACACAAGCUUAAUUUAUAUUAGGUUACCCGUCUAAGUUAAACCUAUGUUACAUAUAACCUAAGAAUCUAUAACAAAUACUAGACCUCAUUAUAACAUGUAAAAUCCCUUAUUAAGCAUGUGUAUAAUCAUAUUGGCAUGUCAAUCAUAUCCUAGUAUUUUACUAAUCACUAGGGCAUCAUUUAUACAUAAAUGCAUUAUCAUACCUAUAAUCAUUCUUAUUUACCUAUCAUACCCUGUGUGCGAUCACAUUUGCAUUUUCAUACCUUAUACAUGUUGGAAAAAAUCUAGUUCGAAAACGGUUUUCUUGCACAACAAAAAAUUAAAAUUUUGAAAAUCAAGCCGAUUUGUGAUAUUUAUAACAAUAAAAUUUAUCUGAAAUCACACCCUGUUUUCGCCUAGAUGAAUCCUUGUUGUUCUUGUCUUUCAAUAGAAUGACCUUCUCCGUUAUUCUCAUACCACGAAAUGCUUUGAAUGUGGGCUUGAACAAAUUCGAAUCAAACAUAACAAAAUAUUAUUUACUUUACUUUCGAUGGUAAAUCAAAUCAAUCUUCAAUAGAAAUUGGUAGAAUUGUUAUUCUGGAAAAUAAAAUUUAUACUUAGAAAAUAAACUCUCACUAUUUUCGGGCAGAAUAACAAUAUCUCAAAGUUAUGUAUUUAGCCCUAUCGUGCCAUCUAUUUAUUAGGAAAAGAAGUGAAACCCUUGUUAAAUUAGUGGAGAUCUAUUUUAAUAGAAAAAAAAUCCUAGUCUAAUUAUAGAUGCUUCCUAGUUAAAAUAUACUAGGGUAAGGGUUUGUCGUGUCAUAUAUUAACAUGAGGGGCUUUUGGAUCUCUCCCGUAUCGAGUCCAAUUAUAAAUGCUUCUUGGACUUUCGGCCCAAUACUUUAUAAUUCAAUCUAACCCAAUACAUGUUUUCUAUUUUUUAAAAUAAACAUCAAAAGAAAUAAAUUAAUUUCCCAAUUAAAUAAUUUUCUCAACCUUAUUCUAAUUUCGUUAAAAUCAUUACAACUUUACCGUAAAAGAAUCUAUGAGAAAAUAUAUUUAAUAUUUCUACAUUCAACGAAUUCACUGUGAAUAAUUAAUUUAAUUAUAUUUUCGAACUUCAAUUAAUUAAUAAUAAUUCAAAAACCCAUAAAUUAAUUUUCAGGUCAUUUCCAUUUAAUGAGAAAGCCACAUUUAUUUCCAAAUGUUUCCCAUUUCUCAAACUUUACCAUUUCUAUCCAAUUUUGUUCAUUUGAUUCAACAUGCUAUACAUUUAUGGUUUCAACAAGCUAGCGGAGGAACCAAUUGGACAUAUAUGAUUAGGGUUCAAUUGAUUUAUAAUUAAGUUUCAGCUUUUCGCCUAUUAAUUAUAAACUCAUUUAGUCAUGAAGUUAUUCCACUAUAGUAUCGAGACUGAGCUCUCCCUAAUGACAUACCAUUACGAAAGUAACUUGAUCAGUGCUCGUCCAUAAACCUUGUCAUAAAUGUGUUACCCUCAUAGGACAUCUUUAAUCUCUUUGGGGUAAAUUCGUUCUCCCAAUAUGGUUCUAUUUUAUCUCAUGGUAACCAUUAAUGUUGGAAAAAAUUCGAUUCGAAAAUAGUUUUCUUGCAUAGAAAAAAAUAAAAAAAAUUUGAAAAUUGACCAGUUUGUGAUAUUUAUAGCCAUAAACCCUAGAUCGAAAUCGUACUUGUGUUUGAGGAUAGAAGGAUCCUUGUUCUCUACUUUCAACCAAAUGAUCUUCUCUACUAUUCUAGUACCAUGAAUUGUUGUAGGCUUGAACAAAACAAAUCAAACACAGAAACUAGAAAUAAUUUUCUUUUUUUAGGGGGUGAAAACGAAAAUCCUCUCUUCAAAAUAGAAACCAAUAGAAUCGUUAUUCCAGAAAAUAUAUUUAAUUCUUAGAGAAUAAAAGUCUAUCUAUUCUUGGGCAGAAUAACGAUAUCUGAAAGUUGUGCAAAUAGCCCUACCAGUGCCAUCUAUUUAUAAGGAGAGAAUGUAGAACCUUUGUUGAAUUAGAGAAUUUUAUUUCAACUAGAAAAACAAAAUCCUAGUUCAACUAGGAUGUAGGGGGUGACAACCCUAAUUAAUCAUACUAGGGUUUGUCAUCCCCCCUUAUUACGUAAGGGGCUUUUGGGCCUCUUCUAUAUCGGGUCCAAUUACAAAUAUUUUCCAAACUUUUAAUUUAAUACAUUAUAUUUUGAUCCAUUGUUUUUCUAUUUCUCAAAAAUAAACUUCAAUAUAUUUCCAAUUAAAUAAUUUUCUCAAUCAAUUUCUAAUUUUGUUAAAAUCAUGAUGACUUUACCGUAAAAGAAUCUAUGAGAAAAUAUAUUUAAUAUUUUCGCAUUCAACAGUUCACUAUGACCAAAUGAUUUAUUUCCAUUUUCGAACUUCAUUUAAUUCAAAAAAUAUAAAAUCAUUUUUCAGGUCAUUUUCAUUUUCAUUUUGGAAAAAAUCACAUUCAUUUCCAAAUGACUUCAUUUAUCCAUUUUCGUUUUGGAGAAAACCUUAAUCAUUUCCAAAUAUUUUAUAUUUAUCCAUUUCUAUUCAUUUUUGCUUUCAACGAGCUAGUAGUGGAACUGAUUGGACAUAUGCAACGAAAUUUUAUUAGCCAUCAGCCUAAAACAACAAAUUUUGGUUGAAGAGAGAGGAGACACACAUUAGUUUAGUUUUUAGCUUUAGUUUCUUUAGUUUUUCUGCAACUUUUUUAGGGUUUUUAUUUUCUCUUCUCCUUUCUUAGUUUUAAAGUUUAUUUUUUUGCACUUCCUUAUUGUUCUUAGUGUUCGUUAAGUUAGUUAUCACUAUAGCUUAGGUUUAUUUGCACUUUCAGUCCCUGUACCUUGGUUAUAAGACAUUUCUAGUUUUAGUUUAAUGUAUUUUAGUUUCUUUUACUUUAAAUUAGUUAAAAAAUUUUCCUUUUAUAUUUAUUGCUUUAGAUUUUCUUGUUAAAUGCCUUUAGUUUCAUGUUCUUUAAGUUUUCUUACAUAAAAAUCCAAACUUUUAUAUUUUUCUCAAGCUUUACUUUAAUGGCUUAUUUACUUUUUAUUUCCAUGUUCAUUAGCUUUAUUUUUACCAUGAGUAGUUAAAACCUAAAGGGGGUUGGUUGAUAGAGAUGUGGGUAAGUUGAUUUUUUGGACAAUGGACUAAAUCAUAAUAAAUUGGACUAAGUGGAAUAGACCUAAAAAAUUAGGAAUUGAUGCCCCUAAGGGAAUAUCUAGACAAGUGAGACCGAGAGAUAAUAUUUUUGUGCACCAAUUCAUUAGUCUUGGAUUAACCGAAGAGGUUGAGUGAUAAACCAGAUUAAUUUGUCUAAGUUGGUAAAAUUGAGAUUGAGAGAGAAAAUUGAACCACUUAGUAAUUUAAGCGAUUUAAGUCCCUCAUUUGAAGAAUAGCGAACCGCAUCGAAAUCAACCGACCAUCAUUAGUCAUUUAUUAUUUAACCUUGUAGUUUUAUACUCUUUACAAAUUGGUCCCUAGAUUAGCAUAUUGAAUUUUCUUGAAAAACUUUCUUGUCAUGAUUUGUCGUUUAUUGAAACGGUGUGUUUAAGUUCUAGAUAUCAUUGUAAUAGUCAUAAUCGAAUUUCAAUUUUCCCUAUAACAUAUUCUUUGGUUCUUUUUAGCAGAGAAACAGUGAGGAAACAGUUAAACAAUUUUGUUAUCGAACGAAAUUCUCAUUUCUCUCUUUCUCUUCCAUUCUUUGUUUCUCUCUUCUCUACUCUACUCUUUGAUUUUUGUGCUCCAUUGUAUCAAUUUAUUUGUUGAUUUUCAAGUUUCCAAGUUCCAAUUCCUUCAAGUCGAUUCCAACAUUCUUAGCUUCCAAAAAACCUCAAAACACUUAACCAGUUGAGUAUUUCCUACCUUUUCCUUUCGAUUUUCAUCAUCUUUGUUGUUUAUCUUGCUAGUUAGCUUUUUUCAAGUCAGGAAACAUGCAAAUCAAGUUCUGUUCAUGCUUCUUGGGGAUCAAGACACAUUUGUUGUUUGCAAUCUAAUCUCCCCUUCAACCGAAUCCUCUUCUUGACUUCUUCUCUUAUGUCUGAUUGUUUCUUGCACUUGUUUCUAUUGAUUUUUGUUGUUUAUUUUCAAAUAUGAUCAAGAACCAAUAAAUCCACCAAGAAUCCAUCCUUAUGCCUCAAGAAAUCAUUCGAACACUAGUUUUAAAUUCUCUAUUGGAAAUCAUUUAUGACCUUGUUCCUCAUUCUUUCUUGGUUGUUUCCAUUAUUUCAAUUGAUCUCUUUGUUAAAUUCAAAACUAGAAAAUUUCAAACAUUUUUCACAUGCAAGAGACCUUUAAUUCCUUCAAGAUCAACUCAUACCCGACUGAACCAAAAUUGGAUUCUAAGUUUCUUCAAUCUUUAGAUAUUUUCUUUGUUGAUCUUGUUGCCCGUUGCUGUUUGUACUAAUUUCUCUUGUCAAAAUUUCAGAUUACUUUGCUGCCAAGAAACAUUCUUUUCUUUACAACUUUAACUCUCGAUCCAAGCUACUGUGCUCUCAUCAAUUAAAAGAAUACCUCCCAUUUACUCCCUAGAUGUAGAUGUAUCAGUAUAGGAAGGAACAAUCUAUUGGAGACCAUUGAUAAUUUCGAACAAAAACUUGGUAAAUUUUCAACUUUGUUUUUUUUCCUUUUUGAUGAGAGAAGUACCAAGUCCUUAAAAAAGGACAUACAUAAAUUAUUUGAGAAGUAGCAACUAUCUGUUCAAUGUUUAGGCCUAUGACCUAGGAAAUAUGAUAACAGACAACAAUUGUGCACAAUAAUUUUUUAUUUAUUCUUUUCAAAGAAAAGCUGUGCAAAGUAGUGGUUACAAAAAAUGGAUUUUAGUCCACAAGCACCUUACAUUGUUGUUCCACAACCUUUCUUCGUUUUUUAUCAUCAUUUGCCUGCAAAGUAACCAACAUUACUUCAUAUUAGAUGAUUCAAUUUUUAUAUUUCUCUAUUCGGCAUAACUAUCAUGGUUUCUUCCACUUUUCACAAGCAUUCAACUUAGCUGAGCAAUUUUCAUUUAUAAGCCAAAUGUGACUUUUCACAUGCAUCAAAGCAUAUCAAAUAGGUCUGGGAAUGGGAAUGGGAAUGGGAAUGGGAAUGUGUCAGAUGCAACAACAAUGUAAUGAAAGAAAGCAUUUGUUAAUAACAGAGUCCAAUUCUUCAAACCAAUUUCUGCCAUUGAUAAAACUAUUACCUCUUGACUCAGGCAAUCUGGUGCACGAACCCUCUUGGAGCCAUCAGCCAAUCGUUUACAUUGAAAUUGGUUUUCCAAAGAUGCCAUGCUAUCACUCACCUAGCAUUACCAACAUUUGCAAAAGACUAAAUAAAGGCGAAAUUUGACUAAUAAGAGGAUGUGAUUAGAGAUGGCAUUUGCAGUUUGAAGACUUGAGUUAACAAGUGGAAAAUGGAGCUCAAAUAAAUUAUUGUUUUUUUACCUGGCUUUUGAUGGCUCCAAUUAACGACUCCUGACAUCCUGACGCAUGCACAUUUUGUAAACUUGGACAUUGAAGGAGCAAUCUCUCUAUGAAAACAGAGUUUAUGAGAUCUUAAAUCAUAAAAAAAUAAAUUGAGUAUACUCAACUGGCCAAACUAGCAGAUCGAUACCUGGAUGCAAGUUUUUACAGGAGUUGAGAUUUAGGUCAUUGAGUUCGGGACAGUUCAAACAUAAAGCCUGCAUUUAGAUUCCCAAAUAAGAACCGCAUAGGGUAUUAAGAAGAAAUUGGCAACAUAGUCGAGAUUAAGGACAAAAGAUCUCACAUCUAAGCCAGAACAACCCCACAAGCUGAGUUUUUUUAGUCGGCUGUGUUUAAUAAUAAGCUUCUGGUACAUAAGGUGCAGUUUAUUGUUCAAUGCAUUUGGAAGUUCAUUAUCACCACUUUCAUCACAAGGUGAAUUCUGGGAAUCAGGAUCACAUACGGUCAUCCCACAAUCCAUAAGUUCAAGAAGAGGUAGUUGAGCUGUGGCAAACUGAAUUCCACCUGAUAAAAGCGGAGAAACGCAUAAAUGAAUAGAUUUAGGUAAAAAUAGCACAUUCACAGGAUAAAUACGGCUAUGCCGGAGAUAUAGGUGUGAAUCUUAGACAAGAAAAUUACUUGAAGUUAUGUUAGGACAAAGAGCAAGGAGCAGUCUUGACAGUGUGUUUGGUAACACAUUGCAGAUCAUUCCAAUGCCACUAUCACUGAUGCUAGACCUGAGACGAAGCAGCAAGCAUCAGGACAUAUGUUUAAUUGAUAAAAAGGUACCCCUUAGAACCAGCCCAGAUAAAUGGAUUAACCAUUUAAAGCUGGAGGAAAACAUACCCGCUGAGAUCAAGCAAUUCUAAUUUUGAAUAACUUGAAGCAAUAGCAGCAACAGAUGCAUCUGUGAUUUCUGAGCCAAGAACAAGCGAAAGCAUCCGCAAGCCCCUGAAUAAUAUAGACAACAAUCAGUAAACUGUGACUAGUUAUCCGCCAAAUGCAGAAAUCUGUGAAACAAAGUAUGCCAUUGCUGGAAAACUGAACAAAACAAGUCCAUUAAAUGCUAUGACUCCUGAUAAAGCAAAGCAAAGUCUAUAGGUUCUUGUGUGAUAUAAAAAUGAACGUGUGGAACAAAAGGUUCAACAAACCUCAAAUUAGCAGCUGUAAGAGAAAGCACUACAGCAUGUGAAAGUCGAACUGAUGCAAUGUGUAUGUUUUGCAACCUUGGGCAACUUCUACCCAUUGCAUCAACCAUGGUUGUAAGAUCGGUAGUAUCAUUUUCUUGGCGAGAAAAUUCUAAGGAUACCUCUUUCAAAUUGGGACAAUUAAAAACCUACAGUACAAGGCACAUAUAAACACAAAUUCACUAACAUGCCCCAAAAAAGUUUUAAACUUGGAAAAACAAAAAAAGGACUUGAUGAAAAAGCUACCAUCUUGGAAAGAGAAUAAAGAUCAGAGAGCCAGAGUGUAGAUAGACUUGAUGAAGAGAGGACAAAGCCCCCUAAAUUAGAACAUCCUUCCAUCUUAAGACUCGUGAGACAGCGUUUAUCAGCAACAAAACGACCCAAUUCAUCCCUAUACAUGAAACAUUAAUUAAAAGUUAAUCAGAAUCACUUAAUCUACCAUUUAUUAACUUAAGCCAACUUAAAUUGCAAUUACACAUAAUCAAGACACGGAACAAAAUAUGACAAAAACAUUAACCAUUAAACAGUUUGAAAUCCAAAACAAACAAAAAUAAUAUAUCGGAUUCAAUCAUAAACAGGAAUUUUAGCAUAGUGUGAAUAGACAGGGUCCUAGACCAAUAAAGAGCAAAUAAAUAUUUACAAACAUGAGUUGGGUCACGAAAAUAAAAGAAAGAAAAAAGAUUGACCAAGACCACUCAACUAGAUAUUUCUAUGCAUUUCACCCCAACUUUAACCCCCAACUUUAACCACUCAACUGAUAAAUUCAACCACAUAGCUAGAUCUAAGCCAUUUCAGAGCCCUGAUAAUGAAGCAACCACAAGAGUAGCAAAGUUUAUUAACCGAGCAACUAGAUAUACUAUUUUAAAGACCUAAAGAUAAAUUACAAGAAAAAGGAGGGAGAAGAUAAAUGAUACCCCGUGAUCCGAUUGACAGCCGUAUUAGAUGUAGAAAUCUCCAUAGACUCCAAAUUAGGGCAAGAAAACGCAAUGCAGGCCAGCAUCGUUGCAUCCACAUCACUGUAAAACUCAAACAAGAAAAAUAAUGAGUAAAACAAAGGGUCAACAAAAGUCCAAAAGCAACAUUAACCCCCUCCCUACAGAUCCCCAAAAUUAUGCAAACAGAAAACCAUUUUUACUGUUCCUUACAAUGAAACAAAUUGUUGGGAUACAUCUCUCCAAGUGAAUAAAAAUUUUCCAAUCAAAAUUUUUUGUUCAAAAGUUAAUCUAAGCUCUUAUUAAAUAUUGCAUUGGUUUAAGCUCUUUAGUUUCACGGCGUUUUCAUUAUAGAUCAAUUUCUCCUUCAUUAUACUGAUUAUGUAUUGUUAAAUCGUAACCAAAUCAACUAUCAUUUUAUGAGUUUAUCACGAUCUUCAUUGGUAUCAACCGAUCCAACCAAUAAUAUCCUAGAUCCGUCUAACGUUGGCUUAGGCCGAACCUUUCCAUCUUUAGAGAAAGCCUAACGAGGCUCGGGCAUUUCUUUAAAACCGAUCCGAUGAACCUGAGCUGACCCCUAGGUGGGACCAUAAGUCUCAACUCCUCCGCCGCCCUCCACAACCUCUUCGUCGUUUCCCUCCAACCUUUACACACACUCGCCGCCGCCAAAAGACCCGCCGGCGGCAAUCUCCUCAAGACCUCCCACAAACACCCAGCCGGUAGCCCACCAGAGACCAUCUCAUUAUCCGGAUCAAGAUCCGUACCCGGGUAGGGAGAAUCAGAAUCAUCUAAAUCGUGUUCCGGCGAGUCAGCGCGGGUUUCGAUGUCGUCAAAGGAAAGCGCACGUCGGAGAUGCGUGUAAGACUGGCGUACGGGUGGAGCGUGAGGUGGACGGGAGGCGGAGGAGGAAUUUUCGACGGUAACGGCAGAUGGAGAUGAGGUAGGAGUAGAAAUCGAAGUAGGGUUGGUGCUACUGUUGAGAUGGCAAACAUGGCCUUUCUUAGGAAGACCACAUCUGCCACAAUUGUAACUGCCGCGACGCUUGGCCGGUUUGAAGUCAAACGCCGCAGCGGCAGCAAAGGAAGCGGAGGCUGGCGUAGAAAUGUGAGGCUGUGGGUGGUGCAUCGCCGUCGACAAACGUAAACGAAGAAGGAAAUACAAAAAAAAAAAAAGAGAAAGAUUGAAGUGAGACGGGGAUGGAUUUAGGUGGGAGAUUAGAGAGGAAAGAAAGAUGAAAAAUAAAGGCAGCGGGGAGGGGCGGGAGAAAUGGCUACUUUUGGCGCCUGUUUUCGAAACCUGUAAUGGAAAAUUAUAAUAAUAUUAUUAUUACGAGGGAGGAGCGUCGCCAGUGCCUAGUUUACGAUGUUUAUUUACUGUUUUACCCUCUACCUUGGUAGGUGACACUGGCAAUGUGGAAAACGUUAAACAAUAAAAUUAAAUUAAAUUAAAACAACGCCAUUUUUUUUCUUUUAUUUAAUUUAAUGAUAUUUAUGGAAUUAUGAGAACAAAUAUUUCAGUAUCUGGCUGCCUCUAUGCAGUAAAUUGGACAAAUUCACUUACUAGCCUUAAAUUUGUUACAUUAUUAUCAUGCAUGCCAUACUUAAUAUAUGUUUAUGUGAUCACAUGUCAUAAAUAUUUCUCUUCUUAAUACUUAACAUCUUGUAAGUUCAAUCUGCGAACUUAACAUACAAACUCAGAUUCAUUCGAGUUGCGAGUCAAUAAUAGUAAAUAUAAGGUGCUCUGCUAACAAUCUAGGGCGUUUAUAUUAUAAAUUUUCUAACUAUUGUUUUUUCCGAAUUUCACUCAAUUAAAAUACAGUAUGCAAUAUAGUGUUAAAUUUAAUGCGAUUUUUUAUACAUUUUUUUUAUAAAGCAAUUUUUUAUACAUUCAUAAAUACCAAAAAUAAAUGCCUCCAUUAUUGUUACUCAAGUGAGGACAUCUAAGUCAAAGUGAAAAGACAACAUAGCGCGAAACAUCGCUGUUCCAAAACAGCAACAAAGCGCGCCGGUUUUGUUACAGUAUUUCGAGUUUUUACAUCCACUUUCGGUCACGAUAAAAACAGCCGAGGAUGGUAAAAUUAAUUACUACAAUAGUAAAAUUAUAAAUAGUAAUAGAGUUAGUUUUUAGUUUCAAAUAUAAUUAUAGUAUUGAAUUAGAAAAUGAUUAUUAACAAUAUUAGAUUAAAGAUGAUAUAUAAUAAAAGUUUUUAAAAAUAUUUUACUUCUACGAAAUUAUUAAAAAUAUAUGAAUUUAUAAAUUCAUGUAAUAAUAUAUUUUAAUAUAAAUAGUUUAAUUAAUAUAUAAUCAAUUUAAAUUAUUUAUUAGAUAAAAAAAAUUAUAGAUAAAAGUACGAGUAUUAUUGUGAACUAAGUACUUUUUCACUAUCGGAUAAAGCUUCAGUCAAAACGGAGAGCUCCAAUAUGCAGUGCAAAAAUUGGAUUGAAACACUUCACAGCUCAUCCAAACGGAUGGUUAUGGGAAAACUCGCUUAGCUGGAGACUACUGCGCCCAAAAACUAGUAAAUUAAUGAAAUUAAACCCUACUUAACUCCAAUAACAUAUGGUGCCAUGGGGACUGUAUUUAGUUGUUUAUAUAACCUAUCUAAUUUUAUUUCAUCCAAAAAAUACUAAUUUAUAACAUAAUUAACCAUGUAGUAUAUAAUUAUUUAAUAUUUUUAAUUUAAGAAACAAAAUUAAAAGAUUCUUAUUUAAUCUUUUAUAAUUAAAUAAAUUAAAAUUAAAAAUCUCACCCUCCAAUCUUAACAUAUUAGGAAAAGAGGUGUAAAGAUAGAAAGAUAAAAGAUGUAACAACAAAAAUUGUGUUGACAAUUUUAAGUUUUUGUUUUUUUUGGUACAUUGAUAGAUUCGAACACAAACUAUUUUUAAGAAAAGUAAACACUCAACCAAUAGACUACAACUUGGGUUCCUCGAUUUUAAGCAUUUUUGUCAGCUGGUUAGGGUUGACUGGAUUAAUCUACAAGCAAAUGGAGCUCAUGUACUCUGGUAGUUAGGGAGAAGCAUGAUCUAAACACCCACAGGUGAAAAAAAUAUUUGUCAAGCCUUGUGUUGAGAACUAUAAACAACUAGGACUAAAUGCUAGCGAGCCUAUUCGUCCUCCUGAAUCAUUUCAGCUUCCUCCCACCACGAAACCGGCCCCAAACCAUCGUAGUUUAUCGUUCCCUGCAAUGAAACAAAUGUUGAAGAAAUCAAGCAUACAACUCAACAUUUGGUUCUUUUAGGAGAAGAAGACAUGAUCCUUGUUACACAUGACAAUAAUUGCCUUUCCAUCUUGUGUUACGUGCAAAGUUGGUUUUCACAGAAUUAGGAUGAAACAAUUGAAAGAUGAACUUACAGUAAUCACCAUCGGGGCAAAUGGUUUCGAAUUCUCUGGUUGUUCAAGGGGAAUCGAAGGAUAAAUAACACUAUCAACUCGAAAUUUAAUCUGUGAUUAACAACAGCUGAAGUCACUAAAGGUAUACAACAGAAUUUAUGGAAACUUUUGCAACAAUAUCACAAGACAUACCGGAUCUGACCCAUCAAUAACAAAUCGUGGUUCUUCGGACUGUGCUUCUUCUGCAUCUCCGAAGUCCCAUAUCCAUCUGCCUUGAUUUCUGCAAUCCUCAAAAUGGUAAUCAACACAUUAGUAAACGUACUGACAUAGAGUGAAUAAUAAAUAAACAAGGAAAAUUAAGAGUGGAAGCUGUGAGUUCUAGCUCUGGUUAUAUCAGAGAUGAAUAAACAAUAAACUAGUUCUUACCUAGUAUUAGGGAUAGCUUCAAAGCGGGACGGGGUCGGCAAAAGGUGGACAGGUAUGUAAAUGUCAUCAAAAAAUCCAAGUGACACUGCAAAUUACAGAACCACGUAGAUAUUUCACAAAUGGUAUUUGACAAGGAAAUGGUUGAUGAGACUAUAAUUGGCCCAAAGAAUAGACCACCUAUGUCUGGUCAUUUUAUCUUUGAUCGCAAUAACAAGAAAAGAUGUCAUGAAAUUUGACAAAGCUCAAGGUUAUGUCAAGUAGGCAAACCAGCAAUUAGUGGCCAAAUAAUAGAACUGUCGAAGAAUCUAACUCUCCUCCUGGCCUCCACUUAGAAUUUGUUACUAUCAAAACUUGAAGUGUUAGAAAGGAUUGGAAGUAUCGCUUAUUUUAUUCCUUUUCACGUUUUACCUAAGCUUAUAGAAUGAGUUCCAAUUCAUUGAUGGGAAAAAAAGGUGAGCUCCACACACCACCAGCAAAUUUCUUUUCUACAUGAAAUGUCUUCUCAACAGCUCGUAUUGCCCUGAACUAGGCACUCGUUAGAGAAUAGACUAUCGUAAUCAGGCUUAUUUAAUGCCUAAACCAAAUUAUGGUUAUUAUGUUAUCUUUAAACCAGAAGGUCAUUGUUGGCACCAACAUAAAGAUGAUAAAGGACAAUAGUUAUUCAAAAGGGAAAAGAAACACAAACUUUGAUUUGUCUACACCAAACAACCAAAACCAUAUAAGUAGAAAAAUAUUCUUCCAGACUUACAGCGCAAGCCGCUAGCAUCAGAUUCUUUAAGUUUGGCAACAAUAAUCUCGCCAAUAAAUGGACGAAACACAAUCAAUCUGAACUCAACCUGCCACAACAGGAAAGAGAAAAAAGAUUUGUCAAACUUCUGAGACUUCAGACAAGCAAUAAUAUGAAUCAAUAUGUCCCGCAUAAAGCAAUUUAACACGCAUAAACGGGAGGCAAAAGAAGGGGAAAAUGGAAAGCAAUACCGUAUAAGUAGAAGCACCAUCCCCGGGAAAGAUAAAGCCACCUUUAAUUGACCUGAUAUCAUAUACUGAAAUACAUAGUCCUAAUUUUGCAAUAACCUAUAUUAUAAUUUACAAAUAUUCAUUAAUCAUCAUCAAAACAUAGUUCAACAAAUAUACUUUAGGGGGUGAAAAGAACCAUUGAAACAAUGAAUAUGUUGGAAGAUAUAGUACUACAAAGUACAAACCUUAUCUAAGAAAAGGGUUUCCAACUCUGACUUAAUAGCCUCAUCAACAGGAAGGUGAAGAAUAUGAGGUGGUAACCGCAAAGUGUGCUCGAUUAAGCUUAGAUAGAACAUAUUCUUUUGCUGUCUUCAAUGUUUUAAAGUUUCAAGAAUCUUAUAAUCAAAAGAAAACUGUCAGUAAGUGAAUACUAGAUUGAGGCAUUAUCCCAAACAUGUGAUGGGCAAUAAACUGAACAUAAAUGGGAUUGCAAGAACCCAAGAGUUCUGUUUAAGAAAAGGGAAAAACAAUUAAACCUAGUGGUGUCGCUGCCGCUAUUUUGAGGUAGCGGUGCCAUUCGAUGCCACUAGAGACCUAAAAAGUGGUAUGAACAAAUUUCACAUCAAUAGCAGUGGGCUGCAAAGAACUAUGUAACGGAUAAUGGUCCACUAUUUCCGAUAAACCGAUAGCUUUUAAGAAAAUUCUCCUUCUCAAUUAAACAGAGAAAGAGUGUAGAUGAGACACAAUAACAAGCAACAGGACAGAAAACAGAAAACCAAAUAAAACUAGAAAUAUUAUGACUCAAGUAGAAAUCAAUUUCAAGUUUAGGGUUUCAAAACUUACAUUAUUUAGUUUCCUAGUCUAUUGUAAAUUUGAAGCUUGGGUCUAGGGAUAACCAAAUUACAAACUGCUAUUAACAGAACAAAUACAAACAAGCAGAUAUCAACAAUCCAGAUUACACCUAAUUUGAUUAAAUACAAAAUUACAUCCCUCAGAAAUUAAAUAUAAGACUUCUUUUUUUCAUUUCUUAUUCUCACAUCUCUCCAACAAAAUUUCGUUUUAACCCAAAGACUAAAGAUUCAAAGCUAAAUUAGUUCAUAUAUUAACCUUAUAAGUUUCAAAUAAAAGAGCUUACCAACUUUCAAAUUUCCUAAAAGGCUUCAGUUCAGGCAUCAGCCAAUGUCAAUAUUGGACAGAUUAGCAAAGCGAGAGAAAGCAACAGACAGAGAUAAGGCAAUGGGAGAAAGCAAAGCAACGGCGUCGGGAUGGGUUUUAGAAGGUGAAUGACGUACCGUAGGCGUCGUUUUCGGUGUCAGCGAUGGGUUUUGGUUUUGGUUUUGGUAAGAAACGCAGCGCUUUGAGUUGAGAGGCUUAUGGGAAAUGUUCUUUUGUUUAGGCUUUUUAGGGUUUUUCUUUUCUUUUAAAAUGAAAAAUUAAUCAAUAAACUCACUUCACGAAUAUUUUAAGAAUUUAAAAAUAUUUUUUAAAAUUUUAAUUUUAAUUCUUAUGAUUGAUUUGGGUUUAAUUUUUUACAUACUUAUAUUUUUUCCUAAUUAAAUUCAUCUAAAAAUGGUGAAUAUAUAGUUGAAUCACCAAAUACUUUAGGUGUGUGGCUAUAAUACUAAUAGAAAACUCAAGUCUAAUAGUGAGGUGUGCUAAAAAAAUAUGCGUAGACCAAAUGAUUCACAAACAUGAAAAGAAUAAGUUAAACACUACAUCUGCAAGACUUUACUCAAAAAAGAAUUUCACCAUGCUAAAUCUAUCCUAACCAUCGAAUAAUUUCACACUUGUAAGCAAUGAUUUAAGCUUAAUUUAUUUUAAUCAUUCAAUAAUUGCUGAUGAACUUAACCAAAUUGCUUUUGAUAAUUUAGCAUUGAUUAUGGUUUCAAAUUGCUUUUGAUACCAAAAAUUCCCUGUUAUUUAAACAACUUGUUUUGCCUGAAGAAAUGGAUUGAGUAGCCAUUGGUAAAGGAUGAAAUACAGUGCAGAUUGCCAAGCAAGCAUAUACAGGGCAGACGGAGAGGCAGAGGCAGAGGUAGAGUCCCCUUCAUAUUCCCUGUUAUUUCCUCUUAAUCUUAUAUCCAUGUUCAUAUUGAGUCGAUUGAUACAUCAAUCGAGAAACAACGGAGAUAAACAAAAUCAAAAUUUAUUGCAGAAUGGAAAAAAAAAAGUUUUGCUACAAUAUAGGAAAGCCAUACUCCAUUCAUUUGAUUCAUACAUGAUAUUUGCAAUGAAGAACAAAGGAAGGAAAUAAGGUUUGGGUUUUAGAGGGACAACCCAGACUCCUCAUCCUCUUCCAGGGAGGAAGUGUAGACGAAGUAAAGAGCCCAAAUCAGGCCGAACACACCAAACAGGAUCCACCCGAGGAGGUUGUUGCUCAAUCCAA
rnacentral:lncRNA from 1 species